rnacentral:rRNA from 1 species
GAUGAACGCUGGCGGCGUGCCUAAUACAUGCAAGUCGAGCGAACAGAUAAGGAGCUUGCUCCUUUGACGUUAGCGGCGGACGGGUGAGUAACACGUGGGUAACCUACCUAUAAGACUGGAAUAACUCCGGGAAACCGGGGCUAAUGCCGGAUAACAUUUAGAACCGCAUGGUUCUAAAGUGAAAGAUGGUUUUGCUAUCACUUAUAGAUGGACCCGCGCCGUAUUAGCUAGUUGGUAAGGUAACGGCUUACCAAGGCAACGAUACGUAGCCGACCUGAGAGGGUGAUCGGCCACACUGGAACUGGGACACGGUCCGGACUCCUACGGGAGGCAGCAGUAGGGAAUCUGCCGCAAUGGGCGAAAGCCUGACGGAGCAACGCCGCGUGAGUGAUGAAGGUCUUCGGAUCGUAAAACUCUGAUAUUAGGGAAGAACAAAUGUGUAAGUAACUGUGCACGUCUUGACGGUACCUAAUCAGAAAGCCACGGCUAACUACGUG